UAUUAUUUUACUUUUUAGUACGUAUGCUUCAAAUUCUUUCUGGGUUGCGUGUUGUAAAAAUAAAACGACUGUCUCCUCUCCGUUCGUCGUUUUCGAAAGUUUACGGGCUACAGUUUAUAUCGCGUCAGUGCGCUUGUAAAGCUGUAAGAACGGCGUUGAGCCACACAGGGGGCGGUAGAGAGCUAUUAUGUUUUUGCGACCUACUAAUUUGCUCGUCUGCAUUCCUGCUGACAGUAGCAGAGAUUUAGCUACGACGCUCACACCAUUCAGCUGACAGGUGUGUGUGAUGCUAGCACGUUAGCUCCGAUACUGCACGAACUCACUUUAGCGAGCUCCGUUAAAUAUGAAUAUUUUCGUGGAAGAAUAAUGACGCUAAGCUCUCAGUGUGUCUUGUAAAUCGGGGGGCUUGAUAAACAAAAAAGCUAAGACGCAUCCCCUUAGCAACCGUAUCUGGUUAGCUGUGAAAGUUGUUGAGCUUCGUUGAGGCGAACGCGAGUAAUAAAUAAGGCCAAGGCGUUGAAGUUAUUACAGAGGCGGGUUUUCUGCGAAGAUAAAUGUUGGCUAAAUGGCAAAAAGCGACCGGGACGAUGGAGCGCUUGACUUUCGGGGUAGGGAGGAGAAGCUGACAGGCAACGGGAGUACUCGUUCGUUUGGCUCCGAUGCACUCACACUUGGCUCGGAUUAUGGCACUGACACGUCCGAGGAGAAGGAGGUGGACAAAUACGGCUUUACAGGAGGAGCCCAGGAGCACCCGGGAAUCCAUGCUGAAGAAAUCCCCAUGGAGGUGCUGAGGCAUCGGGAGUCCAAAUGGCUGGAGAUGCUCAACAGCUGGGACAAGUGGAUGGCCAAAAAGCACAAGAAGGUAAAAGAUCGCUGUCAGAAGGGGAUCCCCCCGUCGUUGCGUGGUCGUGCCUGGCUCUACCUCACUGGAGGCAAAGUGAAGGAGGAGCAAAACCGGGGCAAGUUCCAGGAACUGGAUAAUCAGCCAGGCGAUCCCAAAUGGGUGGAUGUCAUCGAGAAAGACCUCCACCGACAGUUUCCCUUCCAUGAAAUGUUUUCUGCCAAAGGUGGACACGGGCAGCAAGACUUGUUCCGCGUGCUCAAGGCGUACACCCUGCACCGUCCCGAGGAGGGCUACUGUCAGGCUCAGGCUCCCGUUGCUGCUGUGCUCCUCAUGCACAUGCCUGCUGAGGAUGCGUUCUGGGUCCUUGUGCAGAUUUGUGAGAAGUAUCUUCCUGGAUACUACAGUUCAGGCCUGGAGGCCAUCCAGCUGGACGGAGAGAUCCUGGACGCUCUGCUGCGGCGGGUGUCUCCCAUCGCACACCGUCACCUUAAGCAGCACAAACUGGAGCCCAUCUUGUACAUGACUGAGUGGUUCAUGUGCGCCUUCUCCCGCACGCUGCCGUGGGCGUCUGUGCUCCGCGUGUGGGACAUGUUCCUCUGUGAGGGAGUGAAAAUCCUCUUCCGCGUGGGCCUGGUCCUCCUCAAAUGCCUGCUGGGAUCUCGAGAAAAGGUGAAGGCCUGCUCGGGUCUUUACGAAACAAUGGAGCAUCUCCGGGCCAUACCACCACAAUACAUGCAUGAGAGUUUCCUAGUGCAAGAGACCAUAGAGCUGUCCGUAUCGGAGAAGGACAUCGAGAAGGAGCACCUGGCACAGCUCCGACGCUGGAAGGAGACCCACGGGGACCUCUACCACAAAUCCCCACCCAGGAUGCACGGCGCCAAGGCCGUCAUGGCCGCAGAGCCGCCGGGCCGGCAGUAUCUGAGGCAGCGGCCCACCAUCAUCGUGGAGCCCCCGGAGGGAGACGACGCCAGGGACACUCGCAAGCCCAAAAGGGAGAACCGGAAGAAGAGCGUUCUGCCACCCCGGGAGACAGAUAAUGCUCCGCCGUUUCUCCUGGAACCCUCGCCGCUCCUGCAACCAAUGAGCGUGCACGCGUCCAAAGAGAGUGUGAGCAGCACCGAGCAUGACACCUAUCUGUACCACGGAGACAACAAGUGGAAAGCAGGAAGGUUGCUAUCAACACAGUCUCCCGGCCGACCUGAAAACAGAAGCUGGACCUCCAUGUGUUCCCCCCUCCCAGUAAGGUUGGAUGACUUCCACCAUGUUGGAUUGCGGUCGUGCGUGUUGGAGCAUGUCCACAGGCAGUCGCAGGAUGGAAGAAGCAGCUACAGUAUUUGGCCUGGACUCCACAGUGCUCAGGUCCUAAAAGGAGGCUCUGUGACCUCCAGCGGGCUCGAGAUGCUGAAGAGGCUCAGCUGCACGCUCUUCGUUGGUGGCAGGUAGAGAAAGCAGCGCAAUGAUGCCCAACGUACAAACGAUGAUGAAGCCAAACAGAAGAGAAUGGCGUCGAUGUACCAAUAUUUAUGGACCGGACGGUAUAAGUGGAUCUCUGGAGUGCCUGCCCAACUAUUAACUCAGCCAGCCGAAGAUCCAGCGCCACUUUGAAGCGAUUACACACUUUGAAACCCAUCCCGCCAGAAGGGCUCCACGUGGUUUUGAAAAGAUUGAACUGUGCAGAAGCAGUCGGUUGACUUGCUAACGUGACGGCUCCCUGACAGGUGGCAUUUUGAAAAGGAGCCCGGGGCACACAAGAAGCCCACAGAGACACCGAGGGGGGUGA